CACACCUGUGCACACAUAUACACACAAAGAGCUCAGUUACCUGCACAGGCGGACUUAAGCAGAUUAUGGCUCCACUCUCCAGACAGUAGACAUCGCGCCUCUGCAUUGCCCUGUAGACGGUAACCACGGCGGCAGGAGACUCGACCUGGACUCUCCUUGGCUCUGACCACACUUCUCCUGUCCCACACACCUGCAGUUCCUUUUGGACUCAUUAAAAUCGCUUUGUUUCCACCACGUGUUUGAGAAGACUCUGUGUUUGUCACUUGAGUUGUGCUAUUGUGCUUGGUUUUCCUUGGUUUUGAUCCCUGUUACUCUCUUCGUUGUUUCUGAAUAUGGAUAUCCAGCUUUCCCCCUCCCUGCUUGUGUGUUAAUGAAUACUGAAAUGCCCCUAAUAAAGUCACUUCACGCUUGCAACCUGCCUGAGCCCCACAUUACAGUUCAUCACUAUUAUGCUUUGUAUGUACAUGAAUACUUUUGUUACUUUGAUGAAUUGAAUGUGAAUUUUAUUUUGUUUAGUUAAACCAUCCUUAUGCUCCUCUCAACCUUUCUUUAUUAUCAUGAAUGACAUCCUAAUAAAUGGUCACCCUAUCAGGA